AUGAUAGCUGCAUACUGAGCUACAGCACCUUCCGAAAGUAUCUCCCCAACAUCCUCAAUCAAAUGUAUUUAUAAAGCCCUUUUUACAUCAGCCGAUGUCACAAAGUGAUGUACAGAAACCCAGCCUAAAUCCACAAACAGCAAGCAAUGCAGGUGUAGAAGCACGGUGGCUAGGAAAAACUCCAUAGAAAAGGCCAGAACCUAGGAAGAAACCUAGAGAGGAACCAGGAUCUGAGAGGUGGCCAGUUCUCUUCUGCCUGUGCNNNNNNNNNNUUGUACAAACUAGGACCACCAUGCGGCUACAUGCUGGUGUGUCAAUGAGAGGCAGCCCUCCAGGAUUCAUGAUUGAGCAUCUGGACACACCUUUAUAGAGUAACCCACCAAACGGGCUGAUUCUCUAAACGUAUACAAUGAAAAUCAAUACAGCCUGCUUAUCUAACUUUCAAUACAGCCUGCUUAUCUAACUUUCAAUACAGCCUGCUUAUCUAACUUUCAAUACAGCCUGCUUAUCUAACUUUCAAUACAGCCUGCUUAUCUAACUUUCAAUACAGCCUGCUUAUCUAACUUUCAAUACAGCCUGCUUAUCUAACUUUCUUGUCUUCCUCUGAGCCUUCUAAAAGUGAAUAGAAACUGAGAUGAGGUUGAGUCCCUCUCUCUCUCCUUCCUUCUUUCCAUAUCUCCCUCCAUCGCUCCCUCCUUCGAUCUCUCCCUCCCUCCAUCUCACCCUCUUUCCGUCCAUCCNNNNNNNNNNCAUGACUGCUGUCAGUAUUAUCAUGUAUGUACAUGACUGCUGUCAGUAUUAUCAUGUCUGUACAUGUCUGCUGUCAGUAUUAUCAUGUAUGUACAUGACUGCUGUCAGUAUUAUCAUGUAUGUAAAUGUCUGCUGUCAGUAUUAUCAUGUCUUUACAUGACUGCUGUCGGUAUUAUCAUGUCUGUACAUGUCUGCUGUCAGUAUUAUUGUUUCAUGCAAUAUACUUGUGUGUAACAUGAUUGUCACAAUCUCACAAAGGGACUUUCAUAAAGACUAUUUGGGCUUCACACUGACGUACUGUAUAUGUGCUGCAAUCGUUUUACAUUUGUUGAGUAUAUUGUUUGUUUUUUAACUAUAUUUUAAGACAUAUCCACUAAUAAUCCUUCACAUUGAAUUGUCAUAACCAUAAUGCAGAGGAUGGGGAGGCAACGAUGCUAGUUAGCCCAAUACCCUUCCCCCGCCCAACCAGGGGUUUCUCUGGCUUCAGGUCUGCUAUUUCUGCUUUCUGUUUUCCCUCCAUUGAUCAUCAUCAUGUUUCUGAUCGUCAUCAAAACAUCCAAUUCGUGACUGUUUCCUGUCUUUGCCUCAAAAUUAAAUAUUCAACAAAUAUCAUGUGUCCUUUAUUGCAUUU
rnacentral:lncRNA from 13 species